rnacentral:rRNA from 1 species
UUGCGACAGGCUUAACACAUGCAAGUCGAGGGGCAGCACAGGUAGCAAUACCGGGUGGCGACCGGCGCACGGGUGAGUAACGCGUAUGCAACUUGCCUAUCAGAGGGGGAUAACCCGGCGAAAGUCGGACUAAUACCGCAUGAAGCAGGGGCCCCGCAUGGGGAUAUUUGCUAAAGAUUCAUCGCUGAUAGAUAGGCAUGCGUUCCAUUAGGCAGUUGGCGGGGUAACGGCCCACCAAACCGACGAUGGAUAGGGGUUCUGAGAGGAAGGUCCCCCACAUUGGUACUGAGACACGGACCAAACUCCUACGGGAGGCAGCAGUGAGGAAUAUUGGUCAAUGGGCGUAAGCCUGAACCAGCCAAGUCGCGUGAGGGAUGAAGGUUCUAUGGAUCGUAAACCUCUUUUAUAAGGGAAUAAAGUGCGGGACGUGUCCCGUUUUGUAUGUACCUUAUGAAUAAGGAUCGGCUAACUCCGUGCCAGCAGCCGCGGUAAUACGGAGGAUCCGAGCGUUAUCCGGAUUUAUUGGGUUUAAAGGGUGCGUAGGCGGCCUUUUAAGUCAGCGGUGAAAGUCUGUGGCUCAACCAUAGAAUUGCCGUUGAAACUGGGAGGCUUGGGUAUGUUUGAGGCAGGCGGAAUGCGUGGUGUAGCGGUGAAAUGCUUAGAUAUCACGCAGAACCCCGAUUGCGAAGGCAGCCUGCCAAGCCAUUACUGACGCUGAUGCACGAAAGCGUGGGGAUCAAACAGGAUUAGAUACCCUGGUAGUCCACGCAGUAAACGAUGAUCACUAGCUGUUUGCGAUACACUGUAAGCGGCACAGCGAAAGCGUUAAGUGAUCCACCUGGGGAGUACGCCGGCAACGGUGAAACUCAAAGGAAUUGACGGGGGCCCGCACAAGCGGAGGAACAUGUGGUUUAAUUCGAUGAUACGCGAGGAACCUUACCCGGGUUUGAACGCAUUUUGACAGCUCUGGAAACAGAGCCUCUAGCAAUAGCGAUUUGCGAGGUGCUGCAUGGUUGUCGUCAGCUCGUGCCGUGAGGUGUCGGCUUAAGUGCCAUAACGAGCGCAACCCUUGCCACUAGUUACUAACAGGUAAAGCUGAGGACUCUGGUGGGACUGCCAGCGUAAGCUGCGAGGAAGGCGGGGAUGACGUCAAAUCAGCACGGCCCUUACAUCCGGGGCGACACACGUGUUACAAUGGCGUGGACAAAGGGAGGCCACCUGGCGACAGGGAGCGAAUCCCCAAACCACGUCUCAGUUCGGAUCGGAGUCUGCAACCCGACUCCGUGAAGCUGGAUUCGCUAGUAAUCGCGCAUCAGCCAUGGCGCGGUGAAUACGUUCCCGGGCCUUGUACACACCGCCCGUCAAGCCAUGGGAGCCGGGGGUACCUGAAGUCCGUAACCGAAAGGAUCGGCCUAGGGUAAAACUGGUGACU